AGUGGGCUUUGGGGGAAGCCAUCAGAAGCUUUGAAUUGCAAAUUGGAGAAGAGGGAAAAGGGACCACCAGACUGCUUUCCCCGGGUUAUGAGUCUCAAUUUUCACAUCUAGAAUAUGGGGUACACAAGACACCACCUCAUAGGAUUGUGGGAAAGUCAAGGAGAAAAGUAUUACAGCUUCAUG
rnacentral:lncRNA from 1 species